UACUUACCUGGCAGGGGAGAUACCAUGAUCACGAAGGUGGUUUUCCCAGGGCGAGGCUUAUCCAUUGCACUCCGGAUGUGCUGACCCCUGCGAUUUCCCCAAAUGUGGGAAACUCGACUGCAUAAUUUGUGGUAGUGGGGGACUGCGUUCGCGCUUUCCCCUGG
rnacentral:snRNA from 1 species